rnacentral:rRNA from 1 species
UGGGGAAUAUUGGACAAUGGGCGCAAGCCUGAUCCAGCCAUGCCGCGUGUGUGAAGAAGGCCUUUUGGUUGUAAAGCACUUUAAGCGAGGAGGAGGCUACUUGGAUUAAUACUCUAAGAUAGUGGACGUUACUCGCAGAAUAAGCACCGGCUAACUCUGUGCCAGCAGCCGCGGUAAUACAGAGGGUGCGAGCGUUAAUCGGAUUUACUGGGCGUAAAGCGUGCGUAGGCGGCUUCUUAAGUCGGAUGUGAAAUCCCUGAGCUUAACUUAGGAAUUGCAUUCGAUACUGGGAAGCUAGAGCAUGGGAGAGGAUGGUAGAAUUCCAGGUGUAGCGGUGAAAUGCGUAGAGAUCUGGAGGAAUACCGAUGGCGAAGGCAGCCAUCUGGCCUAAUACUGACGCUGAGGUACGAAAGCAUGGGGAGCAAACAGG